UAAAACACAUCCCUCAAAUAUUGGGUUUCCUAAAACAAUUGGCCUCCACUCUUCUUUCCUUCCAACCCUUUCCAUUUUUGCUUUGUUUCUGCUUUGGAUGAUCAAAGGAUUCCAUCUCCUGUUGUUGUGGAUCAUUUAAUAUUAUGCUGUGAGAUUCUUGCAAAGUUGGAUUUCAUCUAUCGUUAUUCAUUUCUCCAGGUGGUGCUCGCCUGGGGUGCCUUGGAAGCUGCAUUCCGCCACUUCCAACUGGGAAUAAGUGUCUCCUCCAGAUACAUGAAAUCGGGAUCAACAUCCAGUGCCUUGUUGAUCCAGUUAAGCAUCUCAGAGUCAGUUGGUGAGCCUCCUUGCUUCUGGAGGAUUCCCUAUUUACAUUGCUUUAGUAGUUUUCAGUUGUUAGGAUGAUCGGGGGUCUUGUCCCGACAUCCCUCCCAGUUUUAGAGGCUUCAUAGAUAGACAGUUAGUUAGAUCAUUUGUCACUAUUUUGUUAUUAGUUUAUGUUUUGAGACUUGAGUUGCCAUCUUGGCUAGUUGAAUGUUGAUAAGAGCUUAUGCCUUUUGGUGUUUUGAUGAUCUCCUCACAAGUGCAGGGACCUGGUCUUCUGCAGAGUAUGCUCGUCCAGUGUCAAAGUGCUGUACAGCUGUAAAAGCUGUCUGCGUCAGAAGCUGCAGAGUACUUCACCAAUCAGAAGCUAGGAGGUUGCUUGUACGUUUGGUAAUAACUUUUUAUGGUAUAUACUAAACAAAAUACAACAAUAUUACUCAUUCAUUCAAAGAGAGAAAUAUUUAAAGCUUCAAGAACAUCAAGGGAUCUGAUCAAUUACUUCAAGAGCUUCAAGAACAACAAGGAAUCUGAUUGAUUACUUCAAAAGCUUCUUGUACCAGCUGUUACUUUGUUUGCUUGUAAUAGUGCUUACAU